GAUGAAGAACGUAGCGAAAUGCGAUAAGUAAUGCGAAUUGCAGAAUUCCAGUGAGUCAUCGAAUCUUUGAACGCACAUUGCGCCCGCCAGCAUUCUGGCGGGCAUGCCUGUUCGAGCGUCAUUUCAACCCUCGACCUCCCCUUGGGGAGGUCGGCGUUGGGGACCGGCAGCACACCGCCGGCCCUGAAAUGGAGUGGCGGCCCGUCUGCGGCGACCUCUGCGUAGUAAUACAGCUCGCACCGGAACCCCGACGCGGCCACGCCGUAAAACACCCAACUUCUGAACGUUGACCUCGAAUCAGGUAGGACUACCCGCUGAACUUAAGCAUAUCAAUAAGCGGAGGA
rnacentral:misc_RNA from 1 species